GAUGAACGCUGGCGGCAGGCCUAACACAUGCAAGUCGAGCGGUAGAGAGAAGCUUGCUUCUCUUGAGAGCGGCGGACGGGUGAGUAAUGCCUAGGAAUCUGCCUGGUAGUGGGGGAUAACGUUCGGAAACGGACGCUAAUACCGCAUACGUCCUACGGGAGAAAGCAGGGGACCUUCGGGCCUUGCGCUAUCAGAUGAGCCUAGGUCGGAUUAGCUAGUUGGUGGGGUAAUGGCUCACCAAGGCGACGAUCCGUAACUGGUCUGAGAGGAUGAUCAGUCACACUGGAACUGAGACACGGUCCAGACUCCUACGGGAGGCAGCAGUGGGGAAUAUUGGACAAUGGGCGAAAGCCUGAUCCAGCCAUGCCGCGUGUGUGAAGAAGGUCUUCGGAUUGUAAAGCACUUUAAGUUGGGAGGAAGGGCAGUUACCUAAUACGUAAUUGUUUUGACGUUACCGACAGAAUAAGCACCGGCUAACUCUGUGCCAGCAGCCGCGGUAAUACAGAGGGUGCAAGCGUUAAUCGGAAUUACUGGGCGUAAAGCGCGCGUAGGUGGUUUGUUAAGUUGGAUGUGAAAUCCCCGGGCUCAACCUGGGAACUGCAUUCAAAACUGACUGACUAGAGUAUGGUAGAGGGUGGUGGAAUUUCCUGUGUAGCGGUGAAAUGCGUAGAUAUAGGAAGGAACACCAGUGGCGAAGGCGACCACCUGGACUAAUACUGACACUGAGGUGCGAAAGCGUGGGGAGCAAACAGGAUUAGAUACCCUGGUAGUCCACGCCGUAAACGAUGUCAACUAGCCGUUGGAAGCCUUGAGCUUUUAGUGGCGCAGCUAACGCA
rnacentral:rRNA from 2 species